GUUGUAUGGUUAAGUGACUAAGCGUACACGGUGGAUGCCUUGGCAGUCAGAGGCGAUGAAGGACGUAGUAACUUGCGAUAAGCGUAGAUUAGGCAGUAACAGCCACUUGAGUCUACGAUUUCCGAAUGGGGAAACCCACGUGCAUAAGCACGUAUCCUUACCUGAAUACAUAGGGUAAGGAGGCAAACCGGGGGAACUGAAACAUCUAAGUACCCCGAGGAGAAGAAAUCAACAGAGAUUCCGAAAGUAGCGGCGAGCGAAAUUGGACUAGCCCUUAAGCUUUUAAUGAUGCAGGUGAAGCCUCUGGAAAGUGGCGCAAUAAAGGGUGAUAGCCCCGUAACUGUUCCAUCAUUAUAAGUGAAAUCGAGUAAGGCGGGACACGUGUUAUCCUGUCUGAACAUGGGGGGACCAUCCUCCAAGGCUAAAUACUACUGACUGACCGAUAGUGAACCAGUACCGUGAGGGAAAGGCGAAAAGAACCCCUGUGAGGGGAGUGAAAUAGAACCUGAAACCGUGUACGUACAAGCAGUAGGAGCAGGCUUUGUCCUGUGACUGCGUACCUUUUGUAUAAUGGGUCAGCGACUUAUAUUCAGUGGCAAGGUUAACCAAAUAGGGGAGCCGUAGGGAAACCGAGUCUUAACUGGGCGUUCAGUCUCUGGAUAUAGACCCGAAACCGGGUGAUCUAGCCAUGGGCAGGUUGAAGGUUGAGUAACAUCAACUGGAGGACCGAACCGACUAAUGUUGAAAAAUUAGCGGAUGACUUGUGGCUAGGGGUGAAAGGCCAAUCAAACUCGGAGAUAGCUGGUUCUCCCCGAAAGCUAUUUAGGUAGCGCCUCGGACGAAUACUACUGGGGGUAGAGCACUGUUAAGGCUAGGGGGUCAUCCCGACUUACCAACCCUUUGCAAACUCCGAAUACCAGUAAGUACUAUCCGGGAGACACACGGCGGGUGCUAACGUCCGUCGUGAAGAGGGAAACAACCCAGACCGCCAGCUAAGGUCCCAAAGUAUUGCUAAGUGGGAAACGAUGUGGGAAGGCUCAGACAGCCAGGAUGUUGGCUUAGAAGCAGCCAUCAUUUAAAGAAAGCGUAAUAGCUCACUGGUCGAGUCGGCCUGCGCGGAAGAUGUAACGGGGCUAAGUAGUAAACCGAAGCUGCGGCAAUACAGUUUACUGUAUUGGGUAGGGGAGCGUUCUGUAAGCCGUUGAAGGUGUGUUGUAAAGCAUGCUGGAGGUAUCAGAAGUGCGAAUGCUGACAUGAGUAACGAUAAGGGGGGUGAAAAACCUCCCCGCCGGAAGACCAAGGGUUCCUGUCCAACGUUAAUCGGGGCAGGGUAAGUCGACCCCUAAGGCGAGGCUGAAAAGCGUAGUCGAUGGGAAACGGGUUAAUAUUCCCGUACUGCUUAUAAUUGCGAUGGGGGGACGGAGAAGGCUAGGUGGGCCAGGCGACGGUUGUCCUGGUUCAAGUGCGUAGGCUAAGAGACUAGGUAAAUCCGGUUUCUUGUUAGGCUGAGACACGACGUCGAGCUACUACGGUAGUGAAGUCAUUGAUGCCCUGCUUCCAGGAAAAGCCUCUAAGCUUCAGUUCAUAAGAAAUCGUACCCCAAACCGACACAGGUGGUCGGGUAGAGAAUACCAAGGCGCUUGAGAGAACUCGGGUGAAGGAACUAGGCAAAAUGGUACCGUAACUUCGGGAGAAGGUACGCUCUUGACGGUGAAGUCCCUUGCGGAUGGAGCUGACGAGAGUCGCAGAUACCAGGUGGCUGCAACUGUUUAUUAAAAACACAGCACUGUGCAAAAUCGCAAGAUGACGUAUACGGUGUGACGCCUGCCCGGUGCCGGAAGGUUAAUUGAUGGGGUUAGACUUAGGUCGAAGCUCUUGAUCGAAGCCCCGGUAAACGGCGGCCGUAACUAUAACGGUCCUAAGGUAGCGAAAUUCCUUGUCGGGUAAGUUCCGACCUGCACGAAUGGCGUAAUGAUGGCCACGCUGUCUCCA
rnacentral:rRNA from 1 species